rnacentral:lncRNA from 10 species
GAUGGUUGUACCUUUCCACGCCUCUUCUCUGCGAAAUGAAGCCACACCAUGACACAAUCUUGAAGAGGAAGCCGGGAAUGGGAGACGGCAACAAUCCCUGUCCCUGGAACGCUGGCCUCUAUGGACAAGCCACCCGCUUCGCACCCCUCCCCUUAUGCCCGUGGCGGUGGCACGGCGCCGUAUCCUGCCUGGGCUCUGGCCUCUGCUCUGUCCUCCCUCUUCCACUGUCUCCCCUGUUUCUCAGCGGCCUAGAUGCCUCUUGGUCUGGCUGAAUAUCUUCUAUGAAGAUCACUUCCCCGUCCAUCAGGGAGACAAUUCCUGGAGAUUCGUGUCAUGACUGUUUCUCUCUCCAAACCUGUUUCUGCUGGAUUGCGCAGGUCUGAUGACCCUGGAGCUCUUGGCUUCCAUACGUGUCUCAGACAGGUAAGCUUCCUCGGUCUCCAUGUUUCACCUCAUGGGUGGGUGGAUUGCCUAGGAUGAGCGCUAUGCCACCGUGACUGGCCUUGUCUUCUAGGACAAGUGCAUUUCCUCUGCACUUCCUGUCUCAUUCUUGAGAAACAUCCUCCCCUCUGCUCGUGGGUGGACUGACUCCUUGAAUCUUUUGGCUGUAAGGAACGUCAGGGAUCCAAUGGUACUGGGCUGGGGCUGGAGCUGGAUGCAGGGGAGGUUCCGUCAGAGCUACCUGGGCAUUGGAGGAUUGGGGGUGGAUUGAACUUUGCAGAAACUUCUUUACUCCUCCAGCAGGCUUUU